AACGCACAUUGCGCCCUUGGUAUUCCAAAGGGCAUGCCUGUCCGAGCGUCAUUAUCAACCAUCAAGCCUGGCUUGUCGUUGGGCCUGCGUCGUCGUUUCACCGGCGACGGGCCCGAAAGAUAAUGACGGUGUCGUGUCUGACCCCCGAUGCAACGAGCCUCGCGGCAUGCAUUGUAGGCGUCACGGCGCCGGUCGAACCCCUUAUUAUUCAAAGGUUGACCUCGGAUCAGGUAGGAAUACCCGCUGAACUUAA
rnacentral:misc_RNA from 1 species